rnacentral:rRNA from 1 species
GGAGGGUGCAGUAGGGAAUCUUCCACAAUGGGCGAAAGCCUGAUGGAGCAACGCCGGGUGUGGGAUGAAGGCUUUCGGGUCGUAAAGCACUGUGGUAUGGGAAGAACAGCUAGAAUAGGAAAGGAUUUUAGUUGGACGGUACCAUACCAGAAAGGGAGGGCUAAAUACGUGCCAGCAGCCGCGGUAAUACGUAUGUCCCGAGCGUUAUCCGGAUUUAUUGGGCGUAAAGCGAGCGCAGACGGUUUAUUAAGUCUGAUGUGAAAGCCCGGAGCUCAACUCCGGAAUGGCAUGGAAACUG